rnacentral:rRNA from 1 species
ACGUAGGGUCCGAGCGUUGUCCGGAAUUAUUGGGCGUAAAGAGCUCGUAGGCGGUAUGUCGCGUCUGCUGUGAAAGACCGGGGCUCAACUUCGGUUUUGCAGUGGAUACGGGCAUGCUUGAGGUAGGUAGGGGAGACUGGAAUUCCUGGUGUAGCGGUGAAAUGCGUAGAGAUCGGGAGGAACACCAGUGGCGAAGGCGGCCUUCUGGACCAGUACUGACGCUCAUGCACGAAAGCGUGGGGAGCAAACAGGA